rnacentral:rRNA from 1 species
UGCCAGCCGCCGCGGUAACACGGGGGGCGCAAGCGUUAUUCGGAAUCACUGGGCUUAAAGGGCGUGUAGGCGGCAGAUCAAGUCGGAUGUGAAAUCCCUCGGCUCAACCGAGGAACAGCACCCGAUACUGGUCAGCUAGAGUGCGAGAGGGGUGAGUGGAACUCCAGGUGUAGCGGUGAAAUGCGUAGAUAUCUGGAGGAACGCCGGUGGCGAAAGCGACUCACUGGCUCGCAACUGACGCUGAGGCGCGAAAGCUAGGGGAGCGAACGGGAUUAGAUA